GAAAAUACAAUACUAGUUGUCAAAUACUUAAGCCUUGGAGAAUUAAUCCUAUUUGAAGAUUUCAGAAAGUUUUUAGGAUUAUUUUUAUAGCAAAAUGAUACCUUCAAGCACUUUUGGUCUCCUAGAGGAUUUCUAAAGCUAUCAUUGGGGUACCCUUACAAAAUUGACAAAACCAAGCUAUAUUCUCUAGAAAUGUGUCCUUUAUUAUAAAGACUGGUUUUCAUUUGAUGAUUGGGGGAGGGUAACUGGUAUUUUUAUCAUUUCAUCAGGAAGCAAAAUUCACACUACAUUUUACAUGUAGACAGAGAUUUGGCAGGAUGAACAGAAGAAUGGAAGUUUCUUCAAGCAAGAGCCAAGCCUUCACAAUCUCCAACAGCAACUCAAACGAUUUCAAGACUGUGUGGGCAGAACAGAAGCCUGUGGGAUGGCAAUGGGUCAGAGCUGCUUAACGAACAGCGUGAAGAUGACCAAAGUUGAAAUAAGAGCCAGAAGUAAAGAUAAAAGGAGAAGUGGCAGCAUAUUGAGACCAGCUCUUCCUCUUAUCAAAGCCUACCUAAGAAAUCAUCUGCAUGGAAGAAAUCUGAGAAGACUUUCUAAGAAAAGCAUUUACCUAACUAGUGUUUACAUAUUAUCACCUCAAAAUACAUACAGCUUGUAUGUUAAUUGGCCAGGACCUGGAUAGUAGAAAAGAACUGGGAAAACCACUCAAGAAAGGAGAAAACACAGAGGUAGGAUACAUUAACAUAUGUUCUACAAGGCCAUGAUAUUACUCUAGAAUCACUUAAAUAUAUUGCUGAGCAUUUCUCUUUGAUUCCAGGUAAGCAAAUGUGACUGUAAUUCAUCUGUGUCUUUAUAAAUGAGUUAGAGGCAGCACAAUGUAAUAAAGAGCAGGAAUUGACAUUAGAUUCAAAUCUGAUCUGACACUGGUUAGCCCUAUCUACGUCUAUGGGAGGAGCUUCUCAAGAUCCCUUAGCCUCAGCCUACUCACCUGUAAAAUAUCUCCCUCACAGUGUUGUUUUAAAGAAAAGUGUUCAUGUAUGUAAAUACCCACUACAGUGAAUGGAAAUAAUAGGCAUUCAAUGAGUAAUAGUGGCAAGAAGAGAAUAAUCAUGGCAAUCAUAUUUGUAGUUGCUAUUGUUAGUUAUUGUUAUUGGCACAUACCAACAGAGAAUUUGUUAGCCUAUAUUCCAUAUCAAAAGCUCUCACUCUAGGGGUGCCUGGGUGGCUCAGUUGGUUAAGUGUCCAACUCUUGGUUUCGGCUCAGCUCAUGAUCUUGGGGCUAUAGGAUCAGUCAGGCUCCAUACUCAACACAGAGUCUGCUUGAGAUUCUUUCCCCUUUCCUUUCUCUUCUGCCUCUCCCCUGCUUUCUCCUUCUUUCUCUUUCCCUCUCAAAUAAAUGAAAUCUAAGAAAAAGC
rnacentral:lncRNA from 1 species